rnacentral:rRNA from 1 species
UACGUAGGGUGCGAGCGUUGUCCGGAAUUACUGGGCGUAAAGAGCUCGUAGGUGGUUUGUCGCGUUGUCCGUGAAAACUCACAACUCAAUUGUGGGCGUGCGGGCGAUACGGGCAGACUGGAGUACUGCAGGGGAGACUGGAAUUCCUGGUGUAGCGGUGGAAUGCGCAGAUAUCAGGAGGAACACCGGUGGCGAAGGCGGGUCUCUGGGCAGUAACUGACGCUGAGGAGCGAAAGCGUGGGGAGUGAACAGG